rnacentral:rRNA from 1 species
CUCAGGAUGAACGCUAGCUACAGGCUUAACACAUGCAAGUCGAGGGGCAGCAUUUUAGUUUGCUUGCAAACUAAAGAUGGCGACCGGCGCACGGGUGAGUAACACGUAUCCAACCUGCCGAUAACUCGGGGAUAGCCUUUCGAAAGAAAGAUUAAUAUCCGAUAGUAUAUUAAAACCGCAUGGUUUUACUAUUAAAGAAUUUCGGUUAUCGAUGGGGAUGCGUUCCAUUAGUUUGUUGGCGGGGUAACGGCCCACCAAGACUACGAUGGAUAGGGGUUCUGAGAGGAAGGUCCCCCACAUUGGAACUGAGACACGGUCCAAACUCC